AAAUAAAAAUUCAAUAGAAAAUACAUCUACAGAGUCUUUUUUCCCAAUAAAACCUUCAGUUUAAUAAAAAUUAAUUUUUCUCGCAAACUAUAAAAAAAAUGUGCACUACGAAUUAUCGGUUUGACUUAACUGUAUUUAACGCUCUUCUACGAGCUUUCUUUCUCCACUUUCACGAUCUCAGAAUCGAGUUCUGACGUAAAUAUUCGACGUGCUGCACGUACGGAGCGGAAGUGAGGGUACACCAUUACGCAAUUGCUUGUGCGGUGCUUAUCUGUUUGCCUCGCUUGAUCUGAAUCUCAUUGACUCGAUAAUUAUGUAAUUCGUUAGAACGUCACGUCCUGCUGACUGGGAAUUGCGUCGAAGAAGCGAAAGCUUCGUGAAUCGCAAACUUGCCUUCGACCCUGUUCUCAAACUGUCGUUGUCGUUUUGUCAUAAGCCUUAAGAAAGUUUCUUUUCAUCUUCAACCUACUACCGAGCUAAUUAAAUCAAUAAUGGAAUGAAAUAAUUUUUCAUAAAAUACAUGAGAAAUUCUACGAAAAGUUAAUUAACCCAGAUAUGCAUCGAUUUCUUUUUUACCAUGCUUUUCCUACAUAUAUAAUGUUGUUUGUUUUCCAUUCUGAACAAGCGGAAUGUUUCGAUGACAUUUUUUUCAUUAUUGUUCAAGAUUAAUCUAUUAUUUCAGCUGUACAAAAAAGAACAUGAAAUAUAGUUAAUGUUGAACAUGUGGCGAAGAAUCACAACAGAGGUAAAAGAAAUUUUACUUUCUUCUCUUUUGGAAACUCUUCUGCAUAACUUCAUUAGUUCAUUUCCAAGAAAUCAAAUAACAAUGAAAUACGUACAUGAUGAUUUAAUAAUAAUUACUAAAAAAAAAAAUAAAUAAAUAAAAGGAGAAGCAAGAGUAUCUGGAGAAGGUGUAAAUGGGAUAAAGUGAUUUAAAUGCAAUACACGUAAGAAAGCAUUUGUGGUGGGAGUGGAAGGACGAGUGAAAGAUAAGAUUUAACAUAAUCCACACCUUUGUCCUAAAAAAUGGAAUUAUCAAUAAAUUAACUAAUUAAUAAUUACUGGACACGUUAUUUCUGUCGACGAUAUAAAAAUAAAAAAAGAAAGAAACUAUAAUCUGUAUUUUACAAAUAUCUUUAUCUCGAUCAAUCGACCGGUACAAGAUUAAUAGUUAGAGCUAUAGAUGGCAACACGCUCAUCAGCCUACGUCUUUUCUUCCUCUAAUUAUGCAGCUACAAACAGCAACGCGACGUCGUCGUUGGACCCAAGUUAAAUUAAUUAACUCCGGCCAACGUGAAAUCUGCGUAAGGUUUUAAUUAGGGCUAAACUCGUACUGUUCGAUCCAGUGCACGGUGAUUAACUGUAACGGAUUUGAACUGUAAGUUCAUGCUAAUUAAUUAGCUUUUACCGACGUUUGCCCGCCGGUGCGCCGCCUCGUUCCGCGUACGCGUAAAACUACAACCGGCGAUUACAGGAAAACACGAGGCUUGUUUCGGCCUCGUUCGUGACAACAGACCAUCGUGCUUUAAGUAUAACGUGGAAAUACUAUGUAGAGACCUUUCUUAGCCUUCUUUAUCAUUUUAUCAUUUUCGUACAUCUUGCACGCACUUCUU